CCAGACUCCUACGGGAGGCAGCAGUGGGGAAUAUUGCACAAUGGGGGAAACCCUGAUGCAGCGACGCCGCGUGAGCGAAGAAGUAUUUCGGUAUGUAAAGCUCUAUAAGCAGGGAAGAAAUUGACGGUACCUGAGUAAGAAGCUCCGGCUAAAUACGUGCCAGCAGCCGCGGUAAUACGUAUGGAGCAAGCGUUAUCCGGAUUUACUGGGUGUAAAGGGAGCGUAGACGGCGAGGUAAGCCUGAAGUGGAAGCCCGCGGCCCAACCGCGGAACUGCUUUGGGAACUGUUUUGCUGGAGUAUGGGAGGGGUAAGCGGAAUUCCUGGUGUAGUGGUGAAAUGCGUAGAUAUCAGGAGGAACGCCGGUGGCGCAGGCGGCUUACUGG
rnacentral:rRNA from 1 species